CUGCCAGCAGCCAGAGAGGCAGGAGCUAGGAGGGUUCUAAGAGAGAGAGACAACUUUGUUUUAACUUAAGGAAGGGAUGUGUGCUUCUAUGGACAGCAAGAACAGUAGUUACCACAGGAAACAUGUUUUCAUCCUUAAAGGACUUAUGUACAGGUUGUCAAGAUGCAGUCACUCUGAAGCUGAACAGGAGAAGGAGGAAUACCAUGCAGCAUAACUCAUUUAAUUUUGAAAGAUGAAAAAAAUAUUCUUUUUAUGAAGAAAAUUGCCAACCCUGUUUGAAUCCAGCCUCUCACAGGACAACAAAAUCUUCAGUUACUUACCUCAUUUUAUAUGAU